AUGCUUAUUUCUACUGACCAAAAAAUGCUCUCGCCUUUUGUCUUUUAAACAGUCCUUUAGAAAAAUAGAGGAAAAAUCGAAUACAAAAGUGGCGGUAGAAAGAACACGCCUUCAACCAAAAAUAAAGGAGGAAAAAGAGGCAGAGAUGAAAAAGAGAACACCUAAUUUCAAGGGUUACACCUCUACCAGCAUAUUGGCCAGGACAAAAAGUGUCAAAGACAAAGAGUCAUUCAGAAAAGGGUGAUGCUAAGAUUGGGAACCCUUUGUAGCUGCCCACCGCCACAGGUGGUGAAGGUAAAGAUAAAGAGAGAUCAAAGAAAAAGAAAGAGUGAAAAAAAGAAUCUCAAAUACACCAUUGAUUCAGAUAUAUGAUAGUAUAUCUUAUAUCUGUUAGAGGGGAAACUUUUAUCGGAGCUCGUGAAUCAUGGAAGGACUAGAAGGAAGAAAUUAAUUGAAAAUGGCAUCUAUAGUUGAUAAUUAAUUUCUUCCCUCACACCCCCUUCAACAAUAAGAUUUAGACAACAUUGUACAAUGUCUUUAAUGAUGUUGUUUUUCUUUUUAUUUUAGGCAUACAUUUCUUGUAGGUAGUUGCUCCUUUUACAUGUUCCCCUCUUGAGUCUUGAUCCAUUGUAGACCAUUAUCAAACAAAAAUGCUUAGGUUUAUAUAGUUGCAGC